AUGCUUGUUCCAGCAGCACAUACACUAAAAUCGGAACAAUACAGAGAAGAUUAGCAUGGCCCCUGCACUAGGAUAACACAUAAAUUUGUAAAACACUCCAUUAAAAA
ensembl:snRNA U6 U6 spliceosomal RNA